CCUGGUGGUUCUUGCGAGGAGCCCAGAACCCGAUCCCAUUCCGAACUCGGCCGUUAAACUCCUCCGCGCCGAUGAUACUUCGUCUCAAGACGCGGGAAAGUAGGUCGCUGCCAGGC
rnacentral:rRNA from 1 species